rnacentral:rRNA from 1 species
GUGUCAGCAGCCGCGGUAAUACGGAGGGUGCGAGCGUUAAUCGGUUUUACUGGGCGUAAAGCGUACGCAGGCGGUUUGUUAAGCGAGAUGUGAAAGCCCCGGGCUCAACCUGGGAACUGCAUUUCGUUCUGGCAAACUAGAGUGUGAUAGAGGGUGGUAGUUUUUCAGGUGUAGCGGUGAAAUGCGUAGAGAUCUGAAGGAAUACCGAUGGCGAAGGCAGCCACCUGGGUCAACACUGACGCUCAUGUACGAAAGCGUGGGG